CGUAGGGGGCGAGCGUUGUCCGAAGUUACUGGGCGUAAAGCGCGCGUAGGCGGUUUAUUAAGUCUGAGGUGGAAAGGUUCAGCGCUCAACGCGAACAGUGCCUUGGAUACUGGUAGACUUGAGUGUGGCAGAGGAGUAUGGAAUCCCUGGUGUAGCGGUGAAAUGCGUAGAUAUCAGGAGGAAUACCGAUGGCGAAGGCAGUACUCUGGGCUAACACUGACGCUGAGGUGCGAAAGCGUGGGGAGCAAACGGGAUUAGAUACCCCGGUAGUCCACGCUGUAAACGAUGAGUGCUAGGUGUAGGAGGUAUCGACCCCUCCUGUGCCGUCGCUAACGCAUUAAGCACGUCCGCCUGGGGAGUACGGCCGACAAGGUUG
rnacentral:rRNA from 1 species